rnacentral:tRNA from 1 species
GGGUGAUUAGCUCAGCUGGGAGAGCAUCUCCCUUACAAGGAGGGGGUCGGCGGUUUGAUCCCGUCAUCACCCACCA